CCUUGUACACACCGCCCGUCACACCAUGGGAGUCAGUUGCUCCAGAAGUGGCUUACCCAACCCGCAAGGGAGGGUGGUCCCAAGGAGUGGCUGGUAACUGGGGUG
rnacentral:rRNA from 1 species